GAUGAACGCUGGCGGCGUGCCUAAUACAUGCAAGUCGAGCGAACAGACCAGGAGCUUUCGCCUCUGACUGUGGCGGCGGUCGGGUGAGGAACACGUGGUUAACCUACCUAUAAGACUGGGAUAACUUCGGGAAACCGGAGCUAAUACCGGAAGAUAUAUUGAACCGGAUUGUUCCAUAGUUAAAUUAGGUUUUGCUUUCACUAAUAGAUUACUCCGCGCCGGAUUAAUUAGUUGGUUAGGUGACGGCUUACCAAGGCAACGAUUCGGAGACGACCUCAGAGGGUGAUCGGCCACACGGGCAGUGAGACACGGCCCACACUCCGACGGGAGGCAACAGCAGAGAAUCUUACGCAAUGGACGAAUGCCUAACAGUGCACAGCCGCGGGAGUCAUGAAGCACUUAGGCUCCUAAAACUAUGUUAGUCGGAAAGAACAAAUGCGUAAGUACCUGUGAAGGUAUUGACGGUACCUAAUCAGAAAGCCCCGGCUAACUCCGUG
rnacentral:rRNA from 1 species